GUGGGGAAUCUUCCGCAAUGGACGAAAGUCUGACGGAGCGACGCCGCGUGAGUGAUGAAGGCCUUCGGGUCGUAAAGCUCUGUCAUCGGGGACGAACGGCCUCAGCAGGUAAUGGCUGGGGAUUGACGGUACCCGAGAAGGAAGCCACGGCUAACUACGUGCCAGCAGCCGCGGUAAUACGUAGGUGGCAAGCGUUGUCCGGAAUUAUUGGGCGUAAAGCGCGCGCAGGUGGGAUCUUAAGUCCAUUUUGAAAGUUCGGAGCUCAACUCCGUGAUGGGAUGGAAACUGGGAUUCUUGAGUACCGGAGAGGAAAGCGGAAUUCCCCGUGUAGCGGUGAAAUGCGUAGAUAUGGGGAGGAACACCAGUGGCGAAGGCGGCUUUCUGGACGGUGUCUGACACUGAGGCGCGAAAGCCAGGGGAGCGAACGGGAUUAGAUACCCCUGUAGUCC
rnacentral:rRNA from 1 species